UACGAAGGGUGCAAGCGUUAAUCGGAAUUACUGGGCGUAAAGGGUGCGUAGGCGGUUCGUUAAGUCUGUCGUGAAAUCCCCGGGCUCAACCUGGGAAUGGCGAUGGAUACUGGCGAGCUAGAGUGUGUCAGAGGAUGGUGGAAUUCCCGGUGUAGCGGUGAAACGCGUAGAGAUCGGGAGGAACAUCAGUGGCGAAGGCGGCCAUCUGGGACAACACUGACGCUGAAGCACGAAAGCGUGGGGAGCAAGCAGG
rnacentral:rRNA from 1 species